AGCAUACGCACGCACGCGCAUUUCUUUUCGUGGGGCACGGGCGCGCACGUCAUGUCGCAGCGCAUCACGCCGCUGACGCGCAAUCAGCUGCUAGAGCUGGAGGCGCUCGUGCGCAAUUUAAUCAGUGCCGUCACGCAGCAGCACGUACAGCCGUCAGCAACGCCCGCUUCGGUGGGGGAGCACAGUUGGCCACUCAGCGCUCCAUCGACGCCGACGUCAGUGAGUCUCUCGAACAGCGGAAGCUGCGCGAAAGCUUAUGCGUCCACGCCGCUCUCAAACGGAGGCGCGGGCGGCGGCCUCUGCGCCGCCUCCUCUUUCCCUGGGGCGCUGCAUGAUGCACAGGCGUCGCCGUUGCCGGUGGCCGCUCCAUCUGACCAAGACGACGAUCCUUCGUCCUACCUUGUGGACGGCGGCGUCAGCGACCUCCAUCACUGUCUGAAUCAUCCCCAGCCCGGCCCAGCCGCAGCAGCACCGGCCGAUCAUGCCGUUCUGCACGGUGCCUUCGUUGACGUGUUUGCCGACCCGUGGACCGCCACGACGUGGCGACUCUACGACAAGAUCGAGUAUAUCGUUUGGUGGUCCUAUCGACCGCCGAGCUGCACGAAAUGCGGCAUGCAGGACGCGUGGAUGCCAUCCGGCGACGUCGAGUUCCAGUGCGCCUUCUGCUUAAGCGGCGCUGGCACGACUCGCAGCAACGCAAUUGUGGAGGACACGACGGCGGCGAAGCAGGAUCAUGCAGGCAUGGAGGACAGCGGCGAUGACGACGACGACACCGGCGGCUUUGCUGCCGUUGGGGGCCGCGCCCGGGCAGGGAAGCAGCCCGGCAGCAGCGGCAGCGGUGCAGGCGGCGGCGGCCCCAUCGACGCGUAUAUCUUCUUCUACGAGUGGUUGCAGCGCAUUCCCCUCUUAGGACCAGCAGGGCCCAUCUCGGCGGCCACCGUAGGCGGCUCAGGCAACCGCGUGGACGGCGCAGCGAGGCCAGCUAACCAGCGUACUCCGGCAUCAUCGUCGACCAAUGGAACGGGCACUCAUGCAGGUGUUUUUCCAUCGUCCGCCGGCGGCAGCCAUCGCGCUGAGCGGCAUGGCAGCGCAGCGGCCAGCAACGCUGCCGGCGCAGGAACAGGUGGAGGAACCGGCAGCAGCAGCAGCGUCCUCCUACCGGCGGGCGAGUCGCUGCCGAUGGUUCUCCGGGCGGCGUACGACAUGGGGACUCUGUUGACGAUCCCCGGACUCCCGCGCGGCACGGCACCCGGCCUUCGGGCCGCUGCCUUGUACCUAAGCCUCCUCCUCCAUCGUUUUGUGUCGCUGUUCCCGCUAUUCUGUCUAGCCGGGCGUAUCCCAGCCUCCGCAGCAGCUGCAGGAGCCACAGCAUCGGCAACAGUGGAAACUAGCCAGCACCGUGGGCCACACAAGGCGGCGGGGGCAGAGACCCACUGCGCUGACGUGGAGCUGCAGUGGGUAGACGUGGAGUUGAUCAGCGCCCUCCUCGGCGUUUCCGCGCCAUCCUUCUUUGAGUCGACUGAGGUGUCGUUGCAGCACCUGCAGAACGUCUUCACGGUGGCCGCCGCGUACGGCGUUCCGAGUGUGCUGUGGCAUCCGGGACGCGUUCCAGGGCGCGUGGAAACAAUGAAGGCGCUGAAGGAGAAGAUGGAGCCGCUCUGUCCCGUGCCAUUCGCGGCGGCAGGUGUAUCAGGGCUCUGCCCAGAGCAUACAGCAAUGAUCGUCGCGCUCGAGCUCGCGCGGCGGGUGGAUGCGCAGCCGAUCGCCGUCUCCUCAACCUCGCCUGCGGCAGCGGCGCAGAACGCGCAACGGAUUGGGAUGUGGUUCGACGCCCUCGGGCUGUACCCCACCCGCAGAGCGUACCGCGAUGCGCACAGCUAUCAUCAGUACGUCGUGGCGGCAGAGAAGAGGCAGGAUAGCGGCGACGGCGCAGCCGACGGUGAUGCCGCGCAAGACCGCCACGGCAUCUUAGCCUCGUGGGAGAAAACGCUGACUGAGUUGGCAGGCAUGAAAGACCCGCAACUGCUAGCCGCGGCCGAGCGGCACGCGCGUCGGCACGAUGGCAACGUUGACCGCGCCAAGCAGCUCUUCCUCACGACGUCCACCUCGCCCUUCUACAAGCGCUUCGAGUGGAUCCUCACCUCUCCGUGUGCGAACGCGCUCCUGCACGUGUUUGCGGCGGUUUUCCGCAUGACCCCAAUGGAGUUGGCGGACAUGGCGCUACGCAGCGGCAUCUACCAAGGACCCACGAGCGGCUUCGUCGCCACGCUGCGCACGGCGGUGCUGCGUGGCGCCUACGACGUCAUGCCGCUGGCCCGGCGUCUGUCGCCGCUGACGUCGUCGUGGAUGUGCACGUACAUGGCCCUGCACUCCGGCGACCGCCUGCCACUGCUCACGGCGCUGCGCCAGCUGAACGAUGCGCAGAACUCCACACGGGACCGGCAAGCGGCGCUGACGCGGCUGGUGCAGCGCGUUCUCCGCAAGCAUCAGGCCCCACAGCUGUACCAGCUGAACUUUGUUCUCCGCGUCACGGACGAAGUCGAAAAGCACUUCAACGGCGUCUACUUCCUGUCGAGCGUCCUCUGGCAAGAAGGCCUCGCCAUCUUCACGUGCCUGCGCUCCGGCCGCAAGACGAUCACGCUGAACCGGUACACAAAUCGCAUGUCCCUGUGUUACAUGAACGCCAAGGAGAAGCAUGUCGACCACCUGAGCAUGCACGUCGUGCCCCCAGUGGUGGCGGCGGUGGAGACGGAGGCAACACGGUUGGUGAUGGAAAUGGCGCUGGGUAUCAGCACAGCGUCUGUUGGUGACCCAUGGGGGAACGUUGUUCGCAGCCUCGACAAGUGUGCGCGCGUGAGGCGCCGCAUGCGAGUACCGAUGCUGGCGUCGCGCCUCGACGCACUCGCCUCCAUCCGCGAGCACGCCAGCACCGUCGCUCGCCAGCUGCAGCAGUUCCCGUCCUUUUUUGGUGGCGCCGGCGGCCAACUGAUCUCGAUGGGUCCGACGCUGCUGGGGUGGGGUGACGCAGAGACGUUGCUGGCCUCGGCGCCACCGCUGGAUGUUCAACAGCUGCGUCGCGAUCUACAGUGGAACUACCUCUGCCUGCCGCACGUGUCGCUCCUCGCAGGGCUCUCUGAAGACCGCGUCGUGGCGAUGUACGCGUCGCUGGUGGGGCUCCUAGAGCUGAUCCACCUGCGCCUUGUGGAGUCGGUCGCGGCGGCAUCUGCAAACAGCACCGCUGCAGCACUCAGCAACUGGGUGGAGGAGUUGCUUUAUGUGGACGACGAGGAGCAGCGUAUGCAAGCGGAGGUGGACUCGCUGCAGCAGGGUUUUGGCAGUGCGGCAGCCACCGGUUGGUCACCGCCAGCUUAUCGCAACAGCCACUCUGGCACGCCGAAGCUGUCACGCAGCCCAAAGUCGAAGUUCUUGGCAGUGUCUGCCUCGACCAACGCACCCCUUGGUGGUGCCUCCUCGGCCUUUGCUGCGUCCUGCGGCGGCGGCGGCGGUGGCGGCGGAGUAUGGCACAACAACGGCCGGCCUCGCGGGUUUUCCCCGCCGCUGGCACGGCAGCCCUACACAAUGACCCCGCCCUCUGUGGCACCCAUCCGCAGCCCUAUCCCGCGCUCUUCGACGGCCACCUCGGCCUUCACACCCUCCCACAACGCCGUCUCGACGCCGACAGCGCAUCGCUUGCGCACCCCGCCAUUGGGGUGCGCACCCAACAGCUGCAGCGGCGGCGGUGGUGGCGGCUGGAGGGCGCGGGACGUAUGCGUCGCCGAUGGGCUGCCACUGCCGGACCUGGAGCUAGCGGAGAGCACGGCCGACAUCGCAAAGCCCACGUCGAACCUGCUGUUAGGCGCACGACAACAUCAGCAGCCCCUCAGGGGACAGCGGCGCCGACGGCGCGGUCGGGGCGACAACGACGACGACAGCGACGACGAGGGCGGCGACGACGAGGAUCGCGGCCUGCCGAAGGCUUUCAUCGACGGGGACGUCGACGAGCAGCAGGAGAGGAUGCUGAAGAAGAAGGCGACCGAAGUCAAUACGGAGCGCCAGCGGUGCGACGACGUCAUGCGCCUCCUUCGGCAGGCUCUACCGCCGUACUGGGAAGUACUGCUCGGGUCAGCAACAGACCUCUCAGCGUCACUCCUGUCCACCAGCGGCGGGGACAACGACGAGGACGAAGACGAGGACGAGGCCGAGUCGACUGCCCGGAGCGGCAGGCGGCGCAGGGCGUCGCCGCAGGAUCGGCGUGCUCGACGGCCAGGGCCAACGACGGCGUCGCGGCCCACGCGGCGGGGUGAAGGUGGUAGCGCUGGCACGGGCAGGGGAGCUGGUGCCUUGGAGUUGCCCAGUGAAGUCCUCAUCACGCACAAGCCCUUCAACGUGUUCCACGCCGAGGAAUGCCGGCGGCGUCUGCGCCGCCUCUACAGCUUCAUCAGCACCUACGAGCGACGGAGGAUCGUGCUACUCCAGCUGGCCGCAGAAGGGAAGCUGCCAAAGAUGGCGACCGCACGGCAGCCGCCGCGGUCGCCGAAGUUGCACAACGGGAGCCCUCUCACCCCGGUGCGUGCCGCAGCCACCGCGGCGGGUGUCGGCUUUUCCACACCGCUGCGUCUCUCGCCUCCGCCGCGGCUCGCGUCCCCCUCGCUGCCACCGAAACCGGCUGGCGGCGAUGGUGGCACCGCUGCUGCCCAACGCUCGCCACCGCACUGCCAGCAAGUGUCUCCGCCCAUUCGAACAGCUGCCCCGCAGCCGCGCCAACGUGGCGACGCCGCCGCGGGUGGCGAUGGUUCACCGCGGCCGUCACAGUCCCUAUCCCCUGUCUCGUCGUCGCAGUCGAGCCGCCGCAGCCCGCGACGGCAGCAUCAGCAUCGCUCACCGUCGCAGCAGUCCAGCGCACGCCUCAAGUCGGCACAGAAGAGUGCGUCUGGUCUCAGCGGCAGCGUAAACCCGAGUAAGCAGCGCAGCAACAAGCACACCUUUGGCGACGUGCGUGGCAGUGGCGGUGGUGGCGCUGGUGCGGCUGCGGUAGCGGUCGAGGACGGCGUCGGUGACAACUUCGCCUUGCCGCCUUCGGAGGUAGCGUGGCAAGAGUCGCGCGUCAGAGCCGCUACUUUGUCGCGAGGAGCGGGGGUGGUGGCGGGAAAGGGGGCUGCCCGUCGGGCCGAGCGCGUGAGCGGUGGAGGCGAGCAGGACAGACGAACAUCACCCCCUGGGCGCUGGUGCGACAAGCCGCCAGCGAGCGAGAACGGCGACAACGAUGACGAGGAACGCCCCUCGAACAGCAACUCAGACGUUGAAAGAGAAGGUGAUUCCCACGCCUGCCGCCAACCCCUCUCCUUCGCGUCGAGCGAGGAUGAUGAGCAGCAGUGGCAGACGCCAUCCAUGCAGGUGAUGCAGCCGCGGAAGCGCUGGCGAGCGAGCAGUGACCACGAGGAUAGUGGCAAGGGCGCCGAUGAAGAUCACCCACGGCGACGCACAGAGAGCAGAAACGGAGAUGGGAGCACAUAUGAAGCAUUAUGUGCUGAAGAGCAGCACCGUCGCAAGGCCAAGAAGACGGGUCGGCGAAGACGUCGCCAGGAGCAGACCUUGCAGCAGCACCAACAGAGGAAGCAGGUGUCGUCGCGGUCUCCGCUUCACAGUCAUGAGCCAAGCAAGGAUGAUGCCAGUUGCUCCCCAGAGGUGCGCGCUGGAAGAGGAGGACCAGGCUCUGUUGGCAGUGUAUCAUCGAGGACCGGAUCACCAGGGCUGCCGCCUCGUCCAAGCAGAGCCGAGAUGGAGGUCAAGGGCAGCCCUGUGACACCGUCGCAAGCAGUGUCAUCGAUCCGUGCUCGAGCCAAGCGGUCUGCCUAUGCCGCUGCCGCCUCUGCUGCACCGGUCGGAGAUGCGGAUACCUACGACGCGGACACGAACUAGCUAACUUGCUCAAGCGCGCGUCUCUCUACGUCGCUGUGUCGGUGUGUGAUCGGCCUAUCCCCUUCUCCCAUUCGCCUCCCUAACCCCCUCUCGCCGGCUGUGCGCGUCGUCGCGCACAUUUCCGUUGGCGGGAGGCUCAUAAUCACGAAACGAGGAUGCGGGCAGCGAACAUUAUACUAAAAAAAAAAAAUUGGAGCAAGCAACAACGAUAGGCGGCGAAUGGCAAGUGUGCAUUCGUGUGAUGCAGACACGGCGUAGCCCUCGCAGUCCACCACGCACGCGCCACGGUAGACACAAGGUGGCCCACGAUGCCAGGAGCUGGACAGCAGGGGUGCUGACGUGGCUCCCAGUGGUCACAGCACGCCGGCAAGUGCCUUUGUACGCUCCACUCACUCACAAGAGCACGGAGCCUCCAGUCAUGGUGGCGGUCUCUCUUCCCGGGGCUCAGAAUCCCGCACUGGCAGCAGAUGUAUGGAACUAGAGAGCCUCUGUGUCGUUGUAUUCAUGUCUCCCUCUAAUGUCCAUGCGCAACCCCCUUCCUCUGCGCAUCCCCUUUUAUGUCGGGUCCUCUCCAUCCUUGCCGUUCUGCACCAUAG
rnacentral:misc_RNA from 1 species